rnacentral:lncRNA from 1 species
UGCCUACAACUUCUUAUUAUGUUCUCCGCUAAUAGAAACUUUGAAGUGAUUCUUUGUUGCAUGUUGAGAGGUGACCAUAUGAUUUUACUAUGUUAACAUUGUUGAGAGAUUACACUAGCGAAAGAAUGAACCCUAGGCCUUAGCUCCAAGAAUUUAUAUAAUGUUUUGCUUGAUGUUUACUAAAUAUUACCUUGCUAUUUUUAUUUAUUCAGAUUACAAAACCCCAUUUCUAUUAUCCAUACUACACUUGUAUCACCAUCUCUUUGUUGGUGAACAUUGCAUGUGAAACAAAAAAAUUCCUACGCACAUACAAGAUCUAUCCAUGGUGAUGACCUUCUACGAUUGGAGAGAUCGGAUCCACAUACCCUUAUAGAUCGCUAAGCGGAAAGCGUUAACAAAUGCGGUUGAUGUAGUUGAACGUCUUCGCGAUCCAAAUCACAAGCCUUCCCGCGAUCCAGUCACGAUCUAGCGUCGAACGGACGUCACCUCCGCGUUCUGCACACGUACAGCUCGAUGACGAUCUCCGCCUUCUUAAUCCAACAAGAGGGGCGGAGAGGUAGAUGAGUUCUCAGGCAACACGACAGCGUGAAGGCAGUGGUGGUGAACUAUUCCGAUAGGGCUUCGCCGAGCUCUACCGAACUAAUCUAGACGAAGAAAACGGUCUAUGGAGGAUAGCGCAACACGUGGCUUUUCAGGUGAUGGUGCCCUCAAAACCUCUACUACAUAUAGGAGAAAGGGUAGGUGGGCUUGCCUUGGUCCCUUCUUCAAGGAGGAGAGGUUCGGCCGAAGUAGGCUGGUGAAGCAACUACCUAUUCACACGUAGAAAUGGCCGCUACGCGCGUGGUAAAAAGAAAUUGCACGCGUCGCGCAUCUUUUGGAGAUGCUCUUACGAUGUCCAUCUCAUGCAAAACGUCCUCUCAGCCAUGAUGAGUUGAGCACGUUUAUAUAGAGUGCAUGAUAGGCCGUGGAUUCACCUCACUAUGUUCAUCCCAUGCAAAACGUCCUCUCAGCUAUGAUGAAUUGGGCAUGUUUAUAUAGGGUGCAUGAAGUCACACAUGCUUGCCCUUACCCUCAAAAGAUCUUCAAUAUUUUAAAU